GAAGCUGGUUGAUCUCUUUGUGUAACGUUCAUUUCCAACAUCCCGGAUGUACUCCUUCAAUAUUUCCGUUGACGUAGUUGUCACCGAUAUUCAACUUGCUUCGUUCUCUUCUCGUCCUAAAAGCAUUCAGAUGUCCGUUUCCGAAAUAGUGACGUACUAUUAGACAGCAUGUACAGAUAAAUACAAACCUUCAAGCAACAAGCAGAAGAAAAUGCUGAAAUACUUUCUACGAAAGGAUGAUAAAAGCUACAUAAAGUGUUCUCUGAGACACUUAAAGACUUCUGCUUCCACAUCAA